UGGGGAAUAUUGCACAAUGGGCGCAAGCCUGAUGCAGCAACGCCGCGUGAACGAUGAAGGUCUUCGGAUCGUAAAGUUCUGUUGCAGGGGAAGAUAAUGACGGUACCCUGUGAGGAAGCCCCGGCUAACUACGUGCCAGCAGCCGCGGUAAUACGUAGGGGGCUAGCGUUAUCCGGAUUUACUGGGCGUAAAGGGUGCGUAGGUGGUCUUUCAAGUCGGUGGUUAAAGGCUACGGCUCAACCGUAGUUAGCCUCCGAAACUGGAAGACUUGAGUGCAGGAGAGGAAAGUGGAAUUCCCAGUGUAGCGGUGGAAUGCGUAGAUAUUGGGGGGAACACCAGUAGCGAAGGCGGCUUUCUGGACUGCAACUGACACUGAGGCACGAAAGCGUGGGUAGCAAACAGG
rnacentral:rRNA from 1 species